AAGAGAACCCAAGGAUCGAAUGAUGAAGGUGGAGCAAGCAAGAUAGAAAUAAGUGCAGCGUAGUUAUCGUCACAAAGGAUUAAAGAUAGUCCUAAUCCUCGGAAUUGGCAUAGAAGAAAGUAAAUGGCUUGUGAAUGCAUUGUAGCCUAUCUGUAAUUCCCAGUGUACGGGCGAGCAGGUGAUUAAGAAUCAGUACACUCACA
ncrna:unclassified sequences Clostridiales-3 RNA